GACGAACGCUGGCGGCGUGCCUAAUACAUGCAAGUAGAACGCUGAAGAGAGGAGCUUGCUCUUCUUGGAUGAGUUGCGAACGGGUGAGUAACGCGUAGGUAACCUGCCUUGUAGCGGGGGAUAACUAUUGGAAACGAUAGCUAAUACCGCAUAACAAUGGAUGACCCAUGUCAUUUAUUUGAAAGGGGCAAAUGCUCCACUACAAGAUGGACCUGCGUUGUAUUAGCUAGUAGGUGAGGUAACGGCUCACCUAGGCGACGAUACAUAGCCGACCUGAGAGGGUGGUCGGCCACACUGGGACUGAGACACGGCCCAGACUCCUACGGGAGGCAGCAGGAGGGAAUCUUCGGCAAUGGGGGCAACCCUGACCGAGCAACGCCGCGUGAGUGAAGAAGGGUUUCGGAUCGGAAAGCUCUGUUGUAAGUCAAGAACGAGUGUGAGAGUGGAAAGUUCACACUGUGACGGUAGCUUACCAGAAAGGGACGGCUAACUACGUG
rnacentral:rRNA from 1 species